GGCGUUAAGUGUCUUGCUCACAGGCACAAAGGCAGGUGAUGGCAUCUAGGAUUUAAUCCAAUCCACCUCUUCUGGCCAGAAACAUCUAGGCUAUUCCUUGUUGGUUGGAAACAAUGUGGAUUCAACCAGUAUGUGCUCAGAGGGCAGCUUUUCUGGUGUGUACAGGUAUUUUAUAAUGAAUUGUUGCAUAUGUAAUAGGUCUAUGUUCGAUUUCCCACAAGUGUUGGUAUAAGAACGUUGACUCAAAACAGUGUUUAAAUGUUUAAUAGGGUUGGAGAGGCGGGUUUCAACUGCAAUAGAUGAAUAAUUUAUCAGUUGGGGGGUGUGUGUGUGUGUGUGUGUGUGUGUGUGUGUGUGUGUGUGUGUGUGUGUGUGUGUCUGAGAGUGCUUUACUUUUGUGUUGGACUGAAAGUGUUGCAUAACAUACUGCCAUACCUGCUGUCACCAGUCUUUCUCCCUGGGGUGUGUUACCUGGGCUGGGCAGAUUCCAGAUGUAGCCUCAGCCCUCCUCUCAGAAAGUCACUCAAACGACAUGGAUAAUGCAUCGCUAUUGGUUUAAUUAAAAAAUUGGACAUUUGGACUCAUAUAAUGAUUUGUUUAUGGUAUUAGUUUGUAGGAAAAAGUCCUGGUGAUGCAGCCAUAGGUUACCUCACCUCAGAGAGACGGUGGCCGAGUGAGAGUGUUAUUUUAACCGGGUCCUUGCUCAAAGUCGCCCAGGCAACUUCCAUUUGACCGAUUCCUGGGAGAUUUGGAACGGAUUCAAUAACGGAGGCGUUAUCAUGUCUCAGACCCAAGAAGAGCACAGUACUGGUGUCUUGGGCCGGAUCGGGAGCUGGUUCUCCCCCUGGAAAGAAAGAGGGAGCCCCAGGAGUCCAAGUGACGACGAUGCCUCUCAGUCCCCGACGGAAGACCAGAGCCCCAGGCCAGAAGGAGAGGGGGCCCAGGAGGAACCUGUGAGGGGAGAAGAGGAGCAGCAAAAGGAGGGACAGAAUUCCCAGCCUGCCCAGCGGCAUCGCUCCAGGGUUUUUGAGGAGUGGAACGCGGCGGACGCCAGAGCGUCUACCCACAGGGACAGCCCCCUCUCUGCAGCCAGCAGCCACAGCGAGUGGGGAGAAAGAGGAGGUCCUAGGGAGGAGGAGUGGUGGAUUGCCUCGCAGGGAGAGGAAACGGAGGAGGAGGGGGGAAGGAGCAGUGGAGCGAGCGGGAAUCCUGCCCCGAAGAGGAAUGCCAGCCAUCUGACACGUGUGCUUUCAUCUGCCCUUGAAGAGGGAGUGGCCUGGGAGGACUCUGACCGACAGGAACACACCCAGGCCCUGCCCCGAGCCCAAGUCCAGGCAGGCAAGAGGCUGCAUGUGUACCUGGAGGAGACGAGCCUGAGCCUGAGCCAGAACAGAACGGACACCCACACAAAGCAGGAAGUGCCCCACGCCAUCAUCACCACCAAGGUGAAGAAAAGACUUCAGGUGGUUUCCAGAGCAAAAUCAUCCAAGAGUGUUGACUUGUCAUCAGAGAACACCAAUACAAAGGAGAGGACCGAGGAGCGCAAAAGGAUUUGUCUCAAAGCUGCUAUAGGGAUCAAAGGUCAUAGCAGUUACAGUGCCCUGGUGGGAGUGUCACUGAAGUCCCCUACAGAGACACAGACGAGCUCACAGACCAUCCCUGAGCUCUCUGGUGAAGAGGAGUCAGACAGAGACACAGACACGAUGGGCCGUAAGAACUCAGGCAGGAGGCGGUCCAGGAAGAACUCCUCCGGAGACGGAGGAGGAGCCAGUUCUCAGGAGAAUACGCCCACCAAACCCCAGCCUGGAACCGAGAACUCACCUACAUCAUCAGAAUAUAACACACCUAAACCUGGAGACUCCACCCCCUCCUCUUCUAAAGACAAACAUGCUUCAGUUCCAACAAAAACACGCAGAGGGAAGGAGAGGGAGGAAGCCCAGGAGGACCUAGACGCACCAGUACACGCCACCCUGGUGGCCGUGGUGGACGGGGAAGGGGACAUGGGCGUAGACGUGGUCGACGACACUAGCCCAUGCCGGGUGGAGAGGCGCACGGAGAGCGCAGAGUCCAAACGCCGGAGCAUGAAGGUGUCACACAGCGAGGUGAAGUUCUUUGCGAAGAGAGUGAUGGUGAACUCGGAGCAGCCACUGAGUCCAGAGGGUGAUGGAGGACACGUUGCCGUGAGCUUUGAGAAAGGAGGGAUGGCUACAGGAAAGGUCACGGAGGGUCAUGAUACAGCUAAGGGAAAGGGCAAGGUGGAACCGAAGGUGACCAAGAGGUGAGUUGUGUUUACCUGACUACUUGAUUACUGUAUUGUUGGAUAACCUACUUCCUGACUACGCAGUUUAGGAAUCAGAUGUUAUUUAAAUACUUAAAAAUAUCUCUGUUUAUAGCAAAAAAAGUUUUCCCUUUACAGGUAGAAUAUCUUUGUAGUGCAUCAAAAUAUGUCCUACAUUUGUUGGCAUUUCAACCACUAUCUCCACUUAGCUGAUAAAGUAUUUUCAAAACACUAAAUCCAUUGAGAUAGAUUUUGUGUGUGAUAUAGAACAAAUGUAGUGUAUUUACAGCUAGAUCAAUUGAAUAUCAGGGUUUUUGUUCAAAUUGAGACAGAACACAUGCUUCUUUGUUUUCAUUGGUCACAGACCACCUGAUCUAAAGAAAGUGGACGAGGAAUCCAAGACUCCUCAGCCUAUUGGGCGGAUCGCAGAUAGGAUCA
rnacentral:lncRNA from 8 species